rnacentral:lncRNA from 1 species
AACAUUGCCGAUGAUAGGGUUGACGACGAGCGAGUACCUUCUUGGGUUUGGUACAUAGUCGGGGUGGUCAUCUUGGUCGAAGGUGAUGGGCUUGUUGGACCAGUCUAGGUAGACUGGCGUCGCUACCUUCACCGAGCAGACCUCCCGGCUUUCUUGCUUGCGGGGUCGAGCUGAGGCAUUCGCCACUUGCCCACCGUAGAUCAUGAAGCAGUUGUGGACCUCUGGGAACUCUUCUUCCCCGUUGCCUCCCUUCUGGUUGUUGCCUUGGUCCUUGCCACCCUCCGCCGAGGGUCCAGCCUUAUUGAAGUAACGUUGGAGCAUGUCGCACUCUUCAAGGGUGUGCUUGACGGGGCCCCUGUGAUAGGGGCACGACUCCUUGAGCAUUUUGUCGAACACGCUGGCCCCUCUGGGAGGCUUCCGAGGAUUUCUGUGCUCGGCAGCAGCGACGAGAUCCAUGUCAACGGCGUUGCGUUUUGCUUGCGCCUUCUUCCUGGUCUUCUUCUUCAUGCCAUGCUGGACGGACGCCUCGGGGACGUCUUCCUUCUACCUCCUGUGAGGCUGCUUGUCCUUUCGGAAAAUGGCUUCGACCGCCUCCUGACCAGAGGAGAACUUGGUGGCUAUGUCCAUCAAUUUGCUCGCCUUGGUGGGUGUCUUGCGUCCCAGUUUUCUUACCAGGUCCCGGCAAGUGGUGCCGGUGAGGAAUGCUCCGAUGACGUCUGAGUCGGUGAUGUUAGGCAACUCGGUGCACUGCUUUGAAAACCGCCAGAUGUACUCUCGCAGGGAUUCCCCUGACUGCUGGCGGCAGCUCCAGAGAUCCCACGAGUUCCCAGGGCGCACGUAGGUACCUUGGAAAUUUCCAGUGAAGGCCUUAACUAGGUCGUCCUAGUCGAAGAUCUGCGCAGGAGGCAGAUGCUCCAGCCAGGCCCGGGCAGCGUCGGAGAGGAAAAGGGGGAGGUUGCGGAUGAUGAGGUUGUCGUCGUCCGUCCCUCCCAACUGGCACGCCAGUCGGUAGUCCACGAGCCACAACUCCGGCCUCUUCUCCCCUAAGUACUUGGUAAUGGUAGUCGGGGCUCGGAACCGGGCUGGGAACGGCACCUGUCGUAUGGCCCGGCUGAAGACCCGCGGACCUGGUGGUUCGGGCGAGGGGCUCCGAUCCUCCUCACUGUCUUAACGUCCCCCGCGUCUGGGGUGGUAGCCUCGGUGCACCUUUUCCUCGAGGCAGGCUCGACGGUCGCGACGGUGUUGCUCGUCACCGAGGCGAUCCCGGGCUGUAGGUGCCUCGUCUCCUGUGUGCUCGGUGUGGACCGAGGCCCCGCGCAUGUGUAGGGAGGACGUUGCGUGAUGCUCCGAGGGGCAUCCUCGCCUUCGGGAGGGUAACGCCCUGAAUUUGGGGGGUAGAAUUUUUUCUUCUUUUCUCUCACCAAAUUCGGGCGUUACUCUCUUUUCUCUUCCCGUUUCGCUCCUUCGUCCCAAUUUCAAACCAGUAUAGUGACAUGUGUCAGUGUCGUAUAUGAACAAAACUUAAGUUGACAUGAGUGUUGCAUCAUGCCAAAGCACAUUUCUUUGUCUGAUGUCGCGUGUUCGUCUCGUUCCGUUUCGGAUUUCGGUUCGCGAUUUAAUUUCGUUUGAUGGUCGUGCGUGUCGUGGGUUUUGAUCCGCGAUGUGGCCCAGCCCGGCCCGCGCGCCCCCCAGCCCACCCCCCCCCCCCCCCCCAUGCGCCCCCUCCUCCUCUCCCUCUCCCAUUUGGAUUUCCCGCGCAGUAACCUCCCUCUCCUUCCACCUCUCUCUCUCCCUCCCCGUGGUGCCCUAGGUUUCGGAGACGGUGAUCGCCGGAGUUGGAUCCCGAGGUGAGCUCCCCUCCC